rfam:Cephalotus follicularis DNA, scaffold: scaffold255, isolate: St1.
AUGACAUGAUGGGAACAUUUUUUGAUGAGGUCUUUUAAUCUUUCCCAUGACUCAUGGAAUUGCUCACCAUCUUGCUGCGAGAAGCUAGUGAGAGCUUUCCUUAUUUG